rnacentral:rRNA from 1 species
AGAAUCAACGCUGGCGGCGUGCCUAACACAUGCAAGUCGCACGAGAAAGGGACUUCGGUCCUGAGUAAAGUGGCGCACGGGUGAGUAACACGUGAAUAAUCUACCUCCGAGUGGGGAAUAACUGAGAGAAAUCUUAGCUAAUACCGCAUAACACUUACGAGUCAAAGCAGCAAUGCGCUUGGAGAGGAGUUCGCGGCAGAUUAGUUAGUUGGCGGGGUAAUGGCCCACCAAGACGAUGAUCU